UACAGAGGGUGCAAGCGUUGUUCGGAAUUAUUGGGCGUAAAGCGCGUGUAGGCGGCUUUGCAAGUCGGGUGUGAAAUCCCUCAGCUCAACUGAGGAAGGGCGCCCGAAACUGCAGAGCUUGAGUACCGGAGAGGAUGGCGGAAUUCCCCAAGUAGAGGUGAAAUUCGUAGAUAUGGGGAGGAACACCGGUGGCGAAGGCGGCCAUCUGGACGGAUACUGACGUUGAGACGCGAAAGCGUGGGGAGCAAACAGG
rnacentral:rRNA from 1 species